rnacentral:rRNA from 1 species
UGUUAGGAUUAUCUUAUGGUUCUUCAUCUAGAUUGCAUUAAUUCUAAUUUUGGAUUGAUCACCCUUAAUUAGACAUCUUAGGUUAAUUAAUAAGAAGCGGAAGCAUCAAUUGAUAACCUGACCAUAAUCUUAGAUGAGCAAACCCACAUAUUCUCAAAAGAAUUUGGUUUAGGGAUUUUGUGAACAUUUGAAACCUGAAUUUUAAUGUUUGCAUAAAUUGAUUGACUUUACAAAGGAAUUUGGAUUUCUAGGGUUUAUGUAUUGAUAAUUAAUUCAACGGAAGUCGUUUAAUUUUAUACUAGAGUUUCAAGUUCGAGAACGAAUCUUCAUUAAAACCCUGACAGUUGCAUAAUUCUGCAAUUUAUUUAUUCCUGUGAAUUUCCUGAAAGCCUGGCUCUUUGUCUAAUUAAAGCUUAAAUCACAAUUCACUUUCAAGUUUAUUUACUUUGUUUUUUUUUGCAUUCAUACAUUCUUGGUUAGCUUAAUUCGAAGUCAAAAUUCCAUCGUGUGAUUACGAUUCCCAGUGAUUUGACCCUUAAAUACUACAAUUGAUUUCUUAAUUUGAGAGAGUAGUUCAGGGUAAAUUUGAACAUAUCACAAGGAUGCUUUCAUUAAUCAAGAACAAAAGUUGGGGGCUCGAAGACGAUCAGAUACCGUCCUAGUCUCAACCAUAAAUGAUGCCGACCAGGGAUCAUCGAAUGUUGCUAUUAGAACUCCGUUGGCACCUUAUGAGAAAUCGAAGUUUUUGGGUUCCGAGGGGAGUCUAGGCGUAAGGUUGAAACUUAAAGGAAUUGACGGAAGGGCACCACCAAGAGUGGAGCCUGCGGCUUAAUUUGACUCAACACGGGGAACUUACCAGGUCCAGACAUAGUAAAGAUUGACAGAUUGAGAGCUCUUUCUUGAUUCUAUGAGUGGUGGUGCAUGGCCGUUCUUAGUUGGUGGAGCGAUUUGUCUGGUUAAUUCCGUUAACGAACGAGACCUCAACCUGCUAACUAGCUACGUGGAGGCAUCCCUUCACGGACGGCUUCUUAGAGGGACUAUGGCUGUUUAGGCCAAGGAAGUUUGAGGCAAUAACAAGUCUAUGAUGCCCUUAGAUGUUUUGGGCCGCACGCGCUAAACUGAUGUAUUCAACGAGUUUAUACAUAGGCCGACAGGCCCAGGUAAUCUUUGAAAUUUCAUUGUGAUGGGGAUAAAUCAUUGCAAUUGUUGGUCUUCAACAAGGAAUUCCUAGUAAGCGCAAGUCAUCAGCUCGCGUUGACUACGUCCCUGCCCUUUGUACACACCGCCCAUCGCUCCUACCGAUUGAAUGAUCCGGUGAAGUGUUCGGAUUGCCGUGACGUGGGUGGUUUACCGUCUGCGACGUCGCGAGAAGUCCACUAAACCUUAUCAUUUAGAGGAAGGUUAAGUCGUAACAAGGUGUCUAUAGGUCAACCUGCGGAAG